ensembl:lncRNA
GUCUCUUGUCAUGUAGUAUUAUGGCGUUGUGAGGUCUCUUGUCAUGUAGUAUUAUGGCGUUGUGAGGUCUCUUGUCAUGUAGUAUUAUGGUGUUGUGAGGUCUCUUGUCAUGUAGUAUUAUGGUGUUGUGAGGUCACUUGUCAUGUAGUACCAUGGCGUUGUGAGGUCACUUGACAUGUGUCUUGUCAUGUAGUACUAUGGUGUAAUGUGGUUUCUGUCUUUUGUCAGUAUAUCCAUUUAUUUUCAUUUUGCAUUCCAUCCAGACCUCUGCCACAAGAUGCAUUUUCCCUCAUGCCUGGGCAUCAUUGUAAAUAAGAAUAUGUUCCUAACUGAGUUGAUUGGUUGCAAUGGUUAACUAUAAAUACAAAAAUAAAUAUAGUCAUGGCACGUGUGGUUGUCAGAAAUCUUCUAAAAGGCAGCAGAAGCCAACAAGACACGCUAGACGAUACCGAGUGACAAAAACAAAAAUGAGAAUGAUCAGGGUGUUGUGUAACUGAUACUUGUUUAUGGGUUUUAUUACAGAUGAUAAAUCAGAGGCCUACUGGCCAGGAGUAUGUGAGGAAGUUAGACCUGAUUAUGCCAUAGGUGAUAAGUUGUUCCAUGAAAUCACGCUUUAUUUGAGUUGUUUGAAAUAAACACGGCAGCUGCUCGCCUUAACCUUCCGGAGUGUGGAUGAACAGAUUUCUGUCAGACGCUGUGCUGGAAGUCUUUUCAGGGUCAAUGCUGAUAGUUCUGCAUCACACUGCACUGCACUGGCUUGGGUUUCAUCUUCACACAACCCUUUAUAGUGCAGUUUCAGAAACUAGGGGAAUUUUGUAACCAGGCCGACUCGGUAUAGCUUGGCUCAGAUGUGUUAAAACAGUUUGCCUGUUCCUCUUCAGCUAUGUUUCGCGUUCGGGCAGCUGUGUGUUCAUUCAUCUGUUUUCCAAGUUCGCCAAACAACAGAGGCGACUCACCCACUCCGGGAGUGCCAGUCUCCCAUUCAACAUGGCUACAGUAAGCCCGUGCCUCGCAGCCACAGAUACCGUACAUGUAGCUGACACUCUUAUUCGGAGCAACAUGUAGUAACUACAGCACGCUAAGGUUUGUUUUAGUUGGCGGGGGAGGACCGAGAUUAGGAUUUAGGAUUGUAAGAUACCAAUUAAACAUGUCCUUAACCAGCAGCUUCUCCGGGGCCCGUAAAAUAAAACCUGAAUACACAUGUACGGUAGGAGGUAAACCUAUAUUUAAAAUGAAUAGAACGUGAAGCUGGGUAGGUAACUAGAUUCAGCUCCGGGCCUGUUGUUGUCAGGACGGAUGGUCGGGGGGGGGGGGUGUCAUUAUAAUAACUUUCAAAUGUCAUCUCUACACUGCAAGAUGAGCACCCCCCCCCCAAAAAAAAAUGUUUUAUUUGAAAAUAAAAUGACGGUGGGGUCUGUUCUUGCCAACCCCGAACACACAGAAUACAAAUAGAGCAGCCCAUUACAUUUGUUUGCCAUUCGUUUUAACCUUGAACAGGUUUAAUUAUAGUUGCUGCUCUGAAGGCGGGAAGUGUUUUUCUAGCCUUGAGCAGCCCUAUUAUAUCCUCAUGUUGGAUGUUCCGCAAACAAAGGACAAAAUACAUAUUAAAUGGCAGUGAAUCACACAAUCUCCUGUAAUACAAUAAUAACAACCUGGCAAUCUGUUGCUUUUCUUAGAAAACAUAUUGAACAUUGCAAAGCUCUGUACCUAUUAAGGAAAUGAACAGGGUCCCCUUGAACUCUGACCUUGCCAUCAUAUACUGCCCUUAAUGGGGCUUCUGAUGGCAUCGUGCAGUUAGACCUGAUCAAAUGAAUUUGGGGGUUGCCAUGACAAAAAGAGGGCCAGAUUGAACAUUUAAACAGAACAUCAGGGAUAACAUUUCAACUCUUAUGAUCAGUGUCACGGGAUCUCUAGUGACCACAGAGAAUGAGCACUGAAACAUGGCACUCUACAGUGGUUGCUAUGCUGGGUGCUAUACAGUGAUGUGUAGGUUGCUCUGUUGGGUGCUAUACAGUGAUGUGUAGGUUGCUAUGCUGGGUGCUAUACAGUGAUGUGUAGGUUGCUAUGUUGGGUGCUAUUCAGUGCUAUGUGGCUAGCCUCUGUGGUACAUACACUUACACCUACCUAGAUUGUUUAUAUGAACAUACCUGGUCACGGUAGACUUCCGUGUGAUAACAAAACAGAACCCAGCCUUAGAAGGCAGUGAGUCUCAUUUGGGUAUCACUGUUUUGCAUGACUCCUUGUAAACGACCAGGGGAGGAAAACCCAAAAGCCUCCUUGGCCUUCCAGUGAACACUGUUUUCAGCUGGCAGUGUUCUAAUGUUUCCUGCUGUGUUAGUACACUUCAAACACACACACACAAAGACACACCUCUGAUUGUUUUUGUCCAUGCCACAAAGACCCAAUACAAUAGGCCUGCUAAUCCGCGAAACACUGUGACACACAACGCGGUGCAUUCAGGCAUGGAAGAAUGUUUCCCCCUUCUAAGACAAGACAAUGAAGGAUUUGUCAAGGUAAAAUUCAGGUUUUGCAAAGCUGCUUUGAUUAGCACAUUAUUAAAGGAACAGUUCACCUGAACACAUUUCUGACUAUUUUGUUGCCUAAAAAAAUCCACUGUUAAUUCAAUCUUCCACAAUUUUAUAGAUGUCAUUAUUCACUCGUCAUUGUAAGGUAUGUUUCAAGUCAUCGUCUUUGCUUUAUUUGUAACAGACAUCCUUGGGAAAGAUAGAGGAGUCAGUUGAAAGAACAUCGGGCUGAAUUCGAACCCGUUGCUCAGCUGUACUUGUGCAACAGUCCAAGCUACACCAUAUGUUUUAAGACCAAAUAUCUUUCAGACGACGCCUCAGUCAAUCAGCUAGCCAUUGAAGUUCUAGAUGUUUCACUCUCACACAGACCUGGUUUCAUAAUUAAAAUGUGUGAUGAGGUACGUUUGAUUUCUCCACAGUGCUGAAGUUCUGUAAGGCAGGUACCACUUCGACAGCUGGUAGAUGUUCCACAUAACUCGGGCAUCUUCCACAGAUAAAACGUGCGCUCCACACAUCCCUCAUCUUCCAGAUGAUGGCACCAGGGAACAGUGUGUCACGCCGUCACACUGGAGCAACAUCAGCCGGCGUUGCUCUGGCAACACCAGCGACACAGCCCGUAAUGUUUGUCGGCAUCACUGGGCUGCGUCCAGACGGAAUAAACGUUGAAUUAUUCAGAGGAGAUCGGGAGCUGGAUCCGGGGUGCAUUCAUUCCGCCACUUCUGAUACAAACGGUACGAACGGUACACGGUGCCAACUGGAACAAGAGUUUCCGCUGGUCAAAUUCUUGCUAGCACCUCGGCUCCUUUUCAACCCCUCUGCCCACUUGCACUGUGCAGGAAAUGGGAAGGUCGCUAACUUAACGCGCAACGCCUGAGCACAGUUCCAACAUCCUGUUUCCUGGGAGGAGCUGAAGUUAAAGAUGACUCGCUGAAGACCGUCCACAGGACUAAGAUUGAGGCAGCAAGAGACACUGAGAAAUCCAUGAGUUGUUGUUUUUUUUGGCCCAAUUCAAACAAAGGGCCAAAUAAUGUUUUCCCUGUAUUUUGGAAAACAUUAACACUAACCCUGGUUGGCACAAAGUCAUGGAAAAACCGCCGACACUAAUCCCGGUCGCCAUGGUGACCUAGUUUACAGCUCACUCAUUGUUUUGACACAUCAACCCACAAAGGCCAAGGUGCGUGGAAUAGUUUGGCGGCUCUGAAUUGAUAUGACCGGAUUGUCACUCAUUGACAGAAUCACUGACUGUAUUCUGACGCCGAACCUUACGGCCCGUGUUAGGGCAAAAUGGUCACACGCCAAACCAAAAGCCGAAACUGGGCAAGGCUCCCUAGUUGCCCUGUGACAAGUUGUGAUCAGCCCUGUUAUAACAGCGGCUCCUCGUGGCAUUGCUACUGUAUGGUGUAGCUAAUUGCUCCAAGGCUGGAAUUCCUUAGGACCCAACAUAGCAAUGAUUACCCAGCGACCUUGGGAUAAAGAUCUGCAGUGUGCUGUAAUUAGGGUCAGAUCGGAUUGAGCCCUUAACACAGUCCCUGAUCAGACACAAGCAAAAAAGUAGAAGGAGUUGUGUGGCACUUGUGGCAGAGAUAUUAUUAGCGUCAUAUCUGAUGUUCUUUUUUUUACUAAGGAGUUGACCACCCUGAUUUGGUUGAGAUGAGUUCAGUUACACUACAAUGCUAUUCACUACAAAAGGAUGCAAACUCUUUGCCUGUAUGUGAGAGCAUUCUCGUCACCUUACAUAUACAAGGCUUAGCUAGAGUUAACAGAAACUUGGGAUAAUAUAUAAACACACACACAUAUAACAUCUAUACUGGCACAUGGAAAACAACAACCUCCUGCCUCAUAAACAUUCCGUAGAUAAUUUAGUUCUUAUCAUCUGGGGAAAAACACAUUCAAAUUACUGUAAGGGACCAAAAGCUCUCAUACUGGGCAGCUACUCUCACGACACAUACAGUUCAGUUCCAAAGUCCUGAUAUUCAAACAGUGCAAUUUCAGAUUUCCUUGACUUCUAAUUCUCCAUUUCACCGCUGCGAUUCUUCCCGGUGUCCUUUCCCUGGGCGUUCAGCCGUAGAUCAGCGCCCGUGCUCGUGAAGUGUCCGCGACCAGGAGUGCCGAUUUAGAAUCAGGUCUUCGCUGUCCAUGGAAUAUUAUCGAUUGUGAUCUACAAGGACGAACUGAUCGAGGGCCAUGUCAGUCUUCCUCCUCCGCUCCAGUGCCGUUCAUGACCAUGCCCGACUCCCAGCGCUGCAGCAGGGGAGUCUUCAGCCUGGGAGUGUGAGGACUCUGGAGGCCACAAGCCCAGCUUCCCAAGAGACUGUCGACCUGGAGAGACACAGGGAGAAUGAGAUGGAAAUGAGAGUGAAAGAGAGAGAGGGAGACAUAAAGGCAGAGGGACAGAGAGAGGGGGAAUGGAGACAGAGAUGGAGAAAAACAGAAGUGGGAAACAUGAAGAAACUGAAACCCGGAGGGAAUUAUACUUGCAUAAUGAUCUAUUAUCCCUGUAUAACAGUAUUAUGACCCAGCAUUUCUUAGGUACUGAGUCACUCCGAUGUCUUCUGUUCUAAGUGCACACCCUUCCUGGGUGUCCUUUGUCACCACACAGAAUAGAAACCAGAUGACCCAGCCCUCUCGUUUGUCAGUCUGAUUCACUGUCUGUCUGGCAGCUACUGUGGGCUCUAAUACACUUCCAUUGAUAAGAUACAAAACACCACCAUAUAACCUGUUAACUAACCUGUUAGGUAAAUGUGAGGAUAUAUUUAUCUUACCGUUACCAGUGUACUCAGGAUGUAUAACACCUCGGUGUGUCAGGUUGUUGUGAAACUGACACAAAUAGCUUUUUCUGUGACACACACAUGAAAAACUCAUUUUACUUUCAUGUAGAGGACACAUUUCUGAUGGAAGACAUUGGUGUUUAGGAAAUGUGUGCUCUGGACAAUUCUUUCAGAUAUACCCUGAAGGAAGAAAUGCAUGUAAUACAUGUUGGAUAAGUAUUAAGGUUAGGGCUAAAGUAGGGGUUACGUUGAGGAUUUAAAAUAAGUUCUAAUGUUCUCACGGUCUAAUGUUCUUGAAAUUUCAAGCUUAGCCCUUUUCCUGAUUGAAAGGCAAGUUGAGUCAAACUGUCACAUACAUGUUUUUCCAGCACCUGAAUCUGUUUUAAAAUGUCAUGCUGUGCUCAUUUGUCAUAUCUACUGAAAACACAUACACUGGACUCUGUAUAUAUAUUUUACAUCUACAGAACUGACAACACAUACACUGGACUCUGUUAAUAUAUCACAUCUACAGUACUGACAACACACACACUAUCCUUGUUAGUACAACCCCAUUUCCAAAGAAGUUGGGACGCUACGUAAAAUGCAAAUGCAAGCAGAAUGCAAUGAUGUGCAAAUCAUUCAUCGCUACAUAUUGUUUUGGGGAAAAUACAUUUUGAAUUUGAAGCUAGCAAUGCGUUUAAAGUUGGGACAGGGGCAUGUUUACCACUGUGUUGCAUCACCUCUUCAUUUAACAACACUCUGUAAGCGGUCAGGAACUGAGAAGACCAGUUGCUGUAGUUUUGAAAGUGAAAUGUUUCCCAUUCUUUCUUGAUAUAGGAUUUCAGCUGCUCAACAAUUCGGGGUCUCCU